CCGUCUUCCAUCGCUCUGCACCAAAAGUUGUCACCAAAAACUUUGCAGAAUUGAAUUAUUUAAACUCAUAUAUCUGCGAAGAACAAGAACAAGAUCAAGAAAACAAGGACGGUUAUUUUUAUAGUUUGCACUGUAAUACCACCGAAAUUAUCAACAAAAUUUAAGUUAGGUACCAUAGUAAUAACAAUUAAAUCGGACCGCAUCAUAAAGAGUAAUAACAGUUGCAAUUCAAAGUCUGAAAAAACGGUCUGGUGACAGACAAAAAAGAGAAUGGGAAAAUUAGUAAAAAAAAAAACAAUGAUUUCACGUACUAACUUAAAAAGGUCACAUUCGCCUUAUCCUCGCCAUAUCCCUAAACCUGAACAAAAAUCUGUUGUCACAGAAAAAGUUAAUCUAAAAAAAAAGAAAACCCGAGAUGCAGAUAAUUCAGAACUAUUUAUAAUGAAUUGUUCAUUACCGAUACAAAUAAGUGUAGAAGUUAUUACAAAUAAAAAUGAAUCAAAAAAUAAAGAACCACUCGAAUACAUUUCAGCAGAAGUAGUUAAUAUGGAUUGUCCAUCAAGCCAAAGCAAAAAGGUUCUUUCAAAAAAACUCCAGUCGGAAAAAAUAAAAAAAGACGAAGACAUUACUGAGGUAUUAGAAAAAAAUCGCAAAUCAAAUCGCAAACGAAAAGUCAAUCAAUCCGAUUGUUAUUUAUAUUAUUAAAAUGUUAUUUACCUAAUCAUAUAGUUUAUCAGACAAACUAAAUGUAUUUUUCGUAGUUACCAAUCUUCAUUCUUCAUAUUUAUUCUUUACCUACAAUUUUAAUGAAUCUCCGUAUUUAAUAUAUAAUAUAUAAUAUAAUACCUAUUUAUAAUAAUUAAUAUUCAAUUUUUUAUAAUUUAUAAUUUUUAUUUAUAUUUCCCAAAGUGAAUGUAUUUUUUUCCUUUAUUCAAUCUAUAUUUUAUAACAUUAUUAUUAAUCAUCUGGAAAAUGCACCUAAAUAUACAAUUGUUUGCAUAACAUUCAUAACAGGAUUGUUUUAUUUUUACACUUUUUUAUUUACAUAAUUUUCCAUAUUCAUCAUCCUUUUUUCUUUGGAUAACCAGUAAUUAUUUAGUAUUUUUGAUAACUGCACAGCUAUUACCUAUAUAAUAUAUUACAAAACUAUCCUAA